AUUGAACGCUGGCGGCGUGCCUAAUACAUGCAAGUAGGACGCAGUUGCGAACGGGUGAGUAACGCGUAGGUAACUACCUAUUAGAGGGUGCUAACUAUUGGAAACGAUAGCUAAUACCGCAUACUAGUGGAUUGACCUGCGUUGUAUUAGCUAGGUGGUCGGGUAAUGGCCUACCUAGGCAAAGAUACAUAGCCGAGCUGGGGGGGAGAACGGCCAAACUGGGACUGAGACACGGCCCAGAAUCCCACGGGAGGCAGGAGUAGGGAAUCUUCGGGAAAGGGGGGAAACCUGAACGAACAACGGCGGGUGAGUGAAGAAGGUUUUCGGAGCGUAAAGCUCUGUUGUUAAGGAAGCGGUACUUAACCAGAAAGGGACGGCUAACUACGUGCCAGCAGCCGCGGUAAUAC
rnacentral:rRNA from 1 species